rnacentral:rRNA from 1 species
ACUCAAAUGAAUUGACGGGGACCCGCACAAGCGCUGGAGCAUGUGGUUUAAUCCGAUACGACGCGUAAAACCUUACCAAGGCUUGACAUGUUUGGCAAAGCUAGGGAAACCUAGUAGAGGUUAUCCAGACACAGGUGUCUGCAUGGCCGUCGUCAGUUCGUGCUGUGAAGUGUACGCUUAAGUGCUAGAACGAACGCAACCCUCAUACUUAGUUACUACAUUUAAGGUGAGAACUCUAGGUAGACUGCCAAGGUAACUUGGAGGAAGGAGAGGAUGACGUCUGGUCGUCAUGGCCCUUAUGCCUUGGGCUACACACGUGCUACAAUGGUUAGGACAAAGGGUCGCCAACCCGCAAGGGGGAGCCAAUCCCAAAAAACUAACCCAAGUUCGGAUUGGAGUCUGCAACUCGACUCCAUGAAGUCGGAAUCGCUAGUAAUCGUGAAUCAGCAUUGUCACGGUGAAUACGUUCUCGGGUCUUGCACACACCGCCCGU